GUGUGUGUGUGAAGUAGAUACUGAGAGUCUGGUCCCUUUUCUUUCCUCCACAUGAAUCUAUUUGUCCUUCCCUGAGGCUGUCACCAGAGCUAACCAGGUUCAGUUGCCCAAAUCUUGGACUUUUUAGUCUCUAGAACCUCUUUUUUUCACAGAGAUUUCUUUCAGAGAUUCUGCAUCAACUACAGAAAACAAAUGAUGACAGUUGACUCUUCUCUUUUGACCCUUCCCUGGGCCAUUUGGGCUCCUGACCUCACCUGCCCUGGUUGCUUCUUUUGAAUCCCUGCCUGUUAUUCACACACUGGCCUUGUUUGGCACUGGUAAGAGAGCAUCAGAGAGCCCUGCCUUCUCUGGUCUGUAGAUUCCUGCAGCAGCCCUGGUCUUUAGCCACAGGGUACAGGUUGCUUCCUGUACUUCUUCACAGGUACAGGUAAAGGUUGCUUCCUGUAUUUCUUCAAUGUUGACAGUAGUAAGAAUGAUUAGCCCACUUGGAACCCUAGACUGGAAACAGAACAAACAUCUUUUCAAAUCACAUCUGGUGUUGGCCCGCUACUACUAUUUCUUGUGGUUUUGUAUUGAGGUUUUUUGAUGCAUUAUAUUUGACCUCGAAUUUAUUUUUAGCAGUAAAGACAGUUCAAUUAAUGUCAAAACAUGAAGGCAUAUAUGCAGAGGAUGGGGUUAGUGAGUCUGGAGGAAAAUGUGCCUAAUUUUAUUUUAUUUUUUCAUAGAAUCUGUCCCCCACCAUGCACGGUGACACCCACACUCAGGAGCUUCCUCAGUGAUGUUCCUUGAGGGCUCUGUAGAGGAGGGAGCAGUGGUCAGGUUCUCUGCAGAGAAAAACAGUGUUUCUGGGCCUUAGUCCAGCUUAUCCAACAGCUGACUGCCCAGAGGAACAGCCAUCAUAGCUUAAUGGUCUUCGUUAUUACAGCUAUCAUUAGGGCCAAGGUCAGGCUGUGAAUCCUCAGUGCUCAGAAUCUCCUCAGUAAGCUUUGUGAUUCUUUUCCUAACACCAGCUCUUCUCUCUGGUUGGGUCAUGAUUUCCAGGAAUGUUCUCAGUGUUCUUUGGCUGGCAUCAUGAAAUGCACAAAGGGCAUGUAUAGGAACCAUUUUCUUGACUUACUUGAUUUUUCUGGACAUGAUAUUGACCUAGAAAGUGAAAAUGGAGAUGACCGCCAGUGGCUUAUGCUUGUAAAUCUAGUCACUCAAAAGGCUGCUUUGGAUCUCCUUGGCUUUCAGUGCAUUCUCCUCCCUGUUGAUGGUUAGAACAUAGUAUUUCCCUUCCUUCCUGUUUUUCUAUCUUCCUGCUGUAAGCAUGAUGCUGAAUGGUUAAAUGAUUUCCAUCUUUAAAGACUUUAAAAUAUACUUGUCACCUCUGUCCUCAGAGAAGCCAAAGCAAUGGAAGAUGAAGAUGGAUACAUACCUAUGUCUGUCUGUACCUAUAUAAGUGCAUAUAUAAAAAAUAUGUAUCUUUCCAUAGCUGUACCUAUAUGGGGAGGGUCUUCUACGGCUUUGGCUUAUAUAGUGUGAGAGGCUGUGAAGUCUGAUCUUCUGUCUCCAACUGGAGACCAGGGUAACUAGUGGUGUAGCUAGAAGGUCAGAGAGCUGGAGGGGUACUGGCAUAGAUAACCAUUCCAGUCUGAAGCUGAAGACAAGAAGACCAAGAAGGUUGCCCCAGCUCAAGCAGCCAGGUCUACUGAUUCCCAUUACAAUCUCACCACCUAGAAGCACUGCCUAACUAGCUGUCUGUGCUUCUGGGGGACUCGUCAAGUUGACACAUUCAUUGAAGCAUCACAUUGGGAGACACAGGAACCAAGAGUGUCUUUGGCUCUCAUCUUCAGGACCAACGAUGGCUAUCUUUGAUAAGCAGCAAGCGGGGUGAGGGAGGAUGACACUUAGAAAGACACAUAUCUCCUGUCGACAAGCCUUAUCGUGUUGGGCUUCAUUCUGGAAGAAGGAAUACUGCAUAGAUUCUCCAUACCGGUACCACGGAGAUACUUUUGGGGAAGAAAGAAAAAUGGUCAUACAGAGCUGUUCCUUCAAUGCACUUACACUUGAAUAAGCUACAUAGGCGACAGGCUCUAUGGAGCUAUCCUGGCUAGAAAAAUCAUGGCUUCCCUCAUCAACACUCCAGUGCAGAGACAUUGAAGUACAGAGCAGUUGCUGUAAAGGUCCUUGUGAGGACCAGUGCCUUGCUUUCCUGAGUCAGGAGCUUCCUUCUUAGAUUUCAGGACCAUGGAGAAUGUCGAAGAAAGGCCUUCAGAGGGUGUCUGGUCAUCAUCUCCCUACCUGCUUAUGGAUGGAGGAGCACAGACUCGAUGGAGGAUGAAUGGGGGGCUGGUGAAAAGCCACCAGACUUCACAUCCAGGUGUCUUUACCAGAAGACAGUGUUUGGUUUUGAAUCAAGAUCCUAAGGUGCUGUAUUGUUGUAUUUCCACACAUUGUGUCUAGAAGUCUCGAGGACCUUCCUGAAGAGAGCUGGAGAGUGGAUGAGCAGUAACCAUGGCAAAACAGACAGGUCCCUGACAGCGAUGGCCAAGUCGUCAGGCGCCGCCCCUCGCUGUGUGGGAAAGGUUAACUCCUCCUGCACAUCAGGAUUGUGAACGCUGUCCGAUGGAGUGUGAGCAUUGUUGGCCAGGGCUGGAAGAAGGGCUCUGCAGAUGAUGAGAAAACCGCUACUUCAGAGAUGUGAAGGAACUCAGAGGUCACACCACUAAUAAGUGGCUAAGAGCAGUCGCAGGUCACUGUCAAAAGUUGUGAGUUGAUAGGAGACUGUGAUGAACUUAUGUAGGAGACAGAUGCAGGAGUAACACCAGACCACAGAGAAUUCAACACUAUUUUUUUCCAAAAGACUUAGAAAAAUCUACAGACCUGGAACACUGAGCCUGGGAAGCUGCCCUAGAGAGAACACCCUCCCUCCCCUUCUCACCCCUGUCUCCUGCCACACAGACGCAUUUCAUUAGUGAUUUGGUCACUGCUGAGCUGUCUUCAUUGAAUGUGGUUUUUGACAGAAUAGUGGGUGUGAAAAUUUUAUUUUCAAUUAAACUUACUAGUUGGGCUGCCUUGGUUUUAAAAGGAUUCCAUUAGGAUGAUAAUUAUACAGCAGUGGCUACAAGGAGAGAUUUGCCCUCAAUUUCAGCUCUUAGGUAAUUCCAAUCAAAUGCUUCACAUCUUCCUCUCUGGAUGAAUCAUCUCUGGGACAGCUGUGUAGAGCCAUUUCUCUCCCCAGCUCCAGGCUUCCCAUGACUUUAUUUUUAGAAAUUCAACUCAAAACAGCAAUUGUGGUAGAGGCCAUUUCUAGCCCGGUAGAGGAAGCCAUAUAGACUGAUAGAAACAGGGGAGGGGGGGCAGAGCCUUUAAAGAGCAUCAGAACCACCUCUCUGUGGGGUUAAGUAGUUAAGAGCUUCAAAUCUUGUCCUUUGUCUUCAAACUCUAAAAUCUAGAAACAAUGGAGAUUCCUUUUAAGACUCGCAUGGAUUUGUCCUCUUUCAAAUCAUGGCCAUUAAUCAUUGUGUUUCAAGAUGGCAGCCGGUGCAGCAUUUCCUGGGGACCCUGCUUUGCCUUCUGGAUUUCCCCGUGAAACAUGAAGAUCAUCGUCUUUACUUUUUCGUUUUGCCUUGUUCAAAUGUUGAUUGUGGGAAGAGGCUGAACUUUUCACCUUGUUGCAUGCCCGGCAUUUGGUAGUUGCUCAAAUAAUAAAUAAACAGAUAAAUUCUUAA